rnacentral:rRNA from 1 species
CUCGGACCGGGAUCCGAUAACCUGGUGAUCCUGCCAGUUGUCUAUGCUUCCUCAAAGACUAAUCCAUGCAUGUCUAAGUAUAAAUGAUAUACAGUAAAACUGCGAAUGGCUCAUUAAAACAGUUAUAGUUUAUUUGGUAAUCGAAUUUACAUGGAUAACCGUGGUAAUUCUAGAGCUAAUACAUGCUGUAAAGCCCGACUUCUCGGAAGGGCCGGUUUAUUAGAUAACAGACCAAUAUUCCUCGGGUCUAUUGUGGCGAAUCUUAGUAACUGAUCGGAUCGCAUGGGCUACGCCCGCCAAAAACUAUUCAAAUUUCUGCCCUAUCAACUUUCGAUGGUAGGAUAGAGGCCUACCCUGGAUUUAACGAGGAACGGAGAAUUAGGUUUCGAUUCCGGAGUGGGAGCCUGAGAGACGGCUACCACAUCCAAGGAAGCCAGCAGGCGCGCAAAUUACCCAAUCCCGACACGGGGAGGGAGUGACAAAAAGUAACAAUGUCUGGCCCUACGGGCUAGGCUUUUGGAAUGGGAACAAUUUAAAUCCCUUAACGUGGAACAAUUAGAGAGCAAGUCUGGUGCCAGCAGCCCCGAUAAUUCCAGCUCUAAUAGCG